rnacentral:tRNA from 1 species
GCGGGAGUGGUGAAAUGGCAGACACGCAGGAUUUAGGUUCCUGUGCCGAAAGGCAUGAGGGUUCGAGUCCCUCCUUCCGCACGA